rnacentral:rRNA from 1 species
CGCCUAACACAUGCAAGUCGAACGAAGUAGCAAUACUUAGUGGCAGACGGGUGAGUAACAUGUAGGUAUCUGCCCUUUGGCCUGGAACAACACGAGGAAACUUGUGCUAAUACCGGAUAAGUCUUUACGGAGAAAGCUUUAUGCACCAUUGGAUGAGCCUGCACUUGAUUAGUUUGUUGGUGGGGUAAUGGCCUACUAAGACUGUGAUCAAUAGCUGAUUUGAGAGGAUGAUCAGCCACAUUGGGACUGAGACACGGCCCAAACUCCUACGAGAGGCAGCAGUGGGGAAUCUUGCACAAUGGAGGAAACUCUGAUGCAGCGAUGCCGCGUGAGUGAAGAAGGCCCUUGGGUUGUAAAGCUCUUUCGUCGGGGAAGAAAAUGACUGUACCCGAAUAAGAAGGUCCGGCUAACUUCGUGCCAGCAGCCGCGGUAAUACGAAGGGACCUAGCGUAGUUCGGAAUUACUGGGCUUAAAGAGUUCGUAGGUGGUUGAAAAAGUUGGUGGUGAAACCCCAGAGCUUAACUCUGGAACUGCCAUCAAAACUUUUUAGCUAGAGUAUGAUAGAGGAAAGCAGAAUUUCUAG